UUCAACAGGAAGUGGGUGUUCAGCUUGAGUCGGGUGAGCGCUUCAGGGAGCGCAGGAACCGGCAGACAGGGCCGUCCCUUUAGAACAGGAUCCACUUGAUGUUCAAAUUGACAAGUUCCUGGAUCAGAACUAACCUUUAAAUGGUAGCAAUGAAAAAAAAAGAAAAGAGCUCUGUGAAGGUUGAAAUAUGAAAGACAAAGAGGAAGAUGCUGACAUGUUAUUUCCUGCAAACAGACAUUGUGUGGCUGUCCUGGGGACUGGAGGCUGGAGGAAAGAGGCAGAGUUAGAGAGUUAGUGCCAGAAACUUUCUUAAAGAUCUCCUGGGACAAACAUCUUCAUUAUUUUUUAAAUGAAUGAAAACUCUGAACCGGAACUAAAAGAUGUAUUUAAAAUCCUAUUGCUAAUUCAUGGUACAGACAACAUUAAAAUUCAGAUCUGUGGAUUUUUCCCAUCAUUUGUUCAACUAAGUCAUUCUUCUCUUUUUAUAAUUUUGUCUGUAAUUAAAUUGCUUUCCAAACUUAAGCAUUUAUAGGUUGAAUUAUUUGCAGUCUUGCAGCUUUACUUUCUAUGUCUUUA